CACCUUUCCUCUUUUCUUUACAUUUUUAUUUCUUCCAAACCACCAAUUCCUCACCAAAUCAAACACCCACAAGAAACACUACAUAUCUGAGCUAAGUUAUCUCAUGACACAAGUGUUAUUUGGUAGCAGGCCCGUUCCUAGAGUUUUACGGGCCUUAGACAUAAUAUAAAAAAAGGGUCUUUAUAUAAUGCAUCAUAAUUUUUUUAGCUCACUGUUGUGUUUUUUUGCUUUUCAUUUCGUUUUUUUAUUUCGCUUUUCACUACAAAAUAAAUGUUUUUUUUAGACAACAUCUGAAAAUAAAUUAAAUAUUCUAUAUACACCAAAACAAAAUAAAAAUACCGUAGAAGUAGAGAAAAAUAGCAUAUGUGAAGUAGACUGAAAUUUUAGCACCCUAUUUUCAACUAAAAUAGAAUUUGCUUUGUUAUGAAAAUUAUCUCAAUUUCUUGGAUAAUAAAUAUCGUCGAUAUUUUUAAUAUUAAUGAAGCACAUAAUUAGGAACAAAGGGCCCAAAAAAAUCACCAAUUUCUUCGAUAAUAAAUUUUUGAGCAUAUUAUCAAGAACAACCAAAUUUUUUUACAGGAGGGUGUAUAUAGAAAUUUUUGUGUUACAUGGGAUAUAUAUAGCAAAUCUCACUAAAAAGGCCAAAAAUACUAACAGAUGUCAGCCCAUUCCUUUAUCAUGUCAAAGUUUGGGCCUUUGCAGAGAAAAUUUCUAUAUAUACCCCCUGAAAUCCAAAUAUUUCUAUAUACACCCCCUUACCUUAAAAUUUUUUU
rnacentral:lncRNA from 1 species